rnacentral:rRNA from 1 species
UACGAAGGGGGCUAGCGUUACUCGGAUUGACUGGGCGUAAAGGGCGCGUAGGCGGUUUGUACAGUCAGACGUGAAAUUCCUGGGCUCAACCUGGGGGCUGCGUUUGAUACGUGCGGACUUGAGUUCGGAAGAGGGUCGUGGAAUUACCAGUGUAGAGGUGAAAUUCGUAGAUAUUGGGAAGAACACCGGUGGCGAAGGCGGCGACCUGGUCCGAUACUGACGCUGAGGCACGAAAGCGUGGGGAGCAAACAGG